ensembl:snRNA Gm24676 predicted gene, 24676
UGUUUUAACAAUUUCUGCAGCACAUAUAUAAAAUUGGAAUGAUACAGAAAAGAUUAGCAUGGCCCCUGUGCAAGG